rnacentral:rRNA from 1 species
ACGCUCGACACCUACGUGAGGCAGCAGUGGGGAAUAUUGCACAAUGGGGGAAACCCUGAUGCAGCGACGCCGCGUGAGCGAAGAAGUAUUUCGGUAUGUAAAGCUCUAUCAGCAGGGAAGAUCAUGACGGUACCUGACUAAGAAGCUCCGGCUAAAUACGUGCCAGCAGCCGACGGUAAUCUGAGCGGGCUGGCAAGGC